CCUACGGGUGACAGCAGUGAGGAAUAUUGGUCAAUGGGCUUACGCCUGAACCAGCCAAGUCGCGUCAGGGAAGACUGCCCUAUGGGUUGUAAACCUCUUUUGUCAGGGAGCAACGCCGGCUACGUGUAGCCGGACUGAGAGUACCUGAAGAAAAAGCAUCGGCUAACUCCGUGCCAGCAGCCGCGGUAAUACGGAGGAUGCGAGCGUUAUCCGGAUGUAUUGGGUUUAAAGGGUGCGUAGGCGGAAUGCCAAGUAAGCGGUAAAAUCGCGGGGCUCAAGCUCGCUCCGCCGUUGAAACUGGCGUUCUAGAGUGAGAGAGAAGUAUGCGGGAUGCGUGGUGUAGCGGUGAAAUGCAUAGAUAUCACGCAGAACACCGAUUGCGAAGGCAGCAUACCGGCGCCCAACUGACGCUGAAGCACGAAAGCGUGGGUAUCGAACAGGAUUAGAUACCCUAGUAGUC
rnacentral:rRNA from 1 species